CCCUUAGAUGUUCUGGGCCGCACGCGCGCUACACUGAUGAAUUCAACGAGCCUAGCCUUGUCCGAAAGGUCCGGGUAAUCUCUGAAACUUCAUCGUGAUGGGGAUAGGUCAUUGCAAUUAUUGAUCUUCAACGAGGAAUUCCUAGUAAGCGCAAGUCAUCAGCUUGCGUUGAUUACGUCCCUGCCCUUUGUACACACCGCCCGUCGCUUGUACCGAUUGGAUGGUCCGGUGAAAUCUUCGGAUAGCUGGUAGUUGGCUUGCCAUCUACUGCUAAAAGUUGCUUAAACCUUAUCAUCUAGAGGAACAAGAAGUCGUAACA
rnacentral:rRNA from 1 species